CCCACAUAUUCCUCAUUUCUCUCCCUCUCUCCUCCAUUUCUUGUCCCUCACAUUCUCUUUGUCCUGCUGUCCCCAGAGCUUGCCUUUCCCUGAGACUGCGAAUAUUUCACCAUGUCAUGAUUAACCAGCCCAUGGGAACAGAAGCACGGGGCCUUUCUCUGUUGAGACUUGGGAUGGAGACAUUUUUCAGGGGGCUUUGAGACCUUGGGAAAACCGCCUUUUCCUUCCCUCCCGUGAGCUUCACACUAGCAGGGGAGGCAAGUAAGGUUAGUUGGAAAGGAACAACAUGGGAAGGUUCCUGGUCCUUGGGCUCUUCUUUGGCUCAGAUGGUGGCAUGGAUAGACUGAGAGCCUCCACUACAGGAGACCUUUGCAGUUACCUAGCUGUGUGCCUAGGAGUGAUAUACAGCAGUAUUAGUUACUGCUAAUACUGAUAAUCUAGGUUUAUUACAUAUUAUUUUAAAGGGAACUCCUAGCUUUCCCAGGGGUUUCAAGAGAAAUCAAGUGCACUCUGGAUGGAGGAUGGUAAGAAGAUUCUGGAAAAACAAAAACAGCAGAUUGUAAACAAAGAUGGCUGCUCCAGGCAUCCUGGUGCCCAGGCCCUGGGAAGAAGCCUGGGUUCUCUGGAACCAGGCAACCAAGCGCCUCUAUUCCAGCUACUCAAGUGGUCUUGACAGUAUGUACUGGUGAAAAUACAAGCGGCGCAGGUUAAAUGAGAAAAGGUUAUUGCUUUAUCUAGGACAAAGACUCUUAGUAUAGGUAUUUUCCAAAUU
rnacentral:lncRNA from 1 species